rnacentral:rRNA from 1 species
UACGGGGGGGGCAAGCGUUGUUCGGAAUUACUGGGCGUAAAGGGCUCGUAGGCGGCCAACUAAGUCAGACGUGAAAUCCCCAGGCUUAACCUGGGAACUGCGUCUGAUACUGGAUGGCUUGAAUUCGGGAGAGGGAUGCAGAAUUCCAGGUGUAGCGGUGAAAUGCGUAGAUAUCCGGAGGAACACCAGUGGCGAAAGCGGCCACCUGGACUGUACCUGACGCUCAAACGCGAAAGCUAGGGGAGCGAACGGG